rnacentral:rRNA from 1 species
UACAGAGGGGGCAAGCGUUGUUCGGAAUUACUGGGCGUAAAGGGCGCGUAGGCGGCCUGUUAAGUCGGACGUGAAAUCCCCGGGCUCAACCCGGGAACUGCGUCCGAUACUGGCAGGCUUGAAUCCGGGAGAGGGAUGUGGAAUUCCUGGUGUAGCGGUGAAAUGCGCAGAUAUCAGGAAGAACACCCGUGGCUAAGGCGGCUCUCUAGUACGGUACUGACGCUGAGACGCGAAAGCGUGGGGAGCGAACAGG